rnacentral:rRNA from 1 species
GCUCAAAUUUGAAAUCUGGCGUCUUCGGCGUCCGAGUUGUAAUUUGAAGAAGGCUACUUUGGAGCUGGAGUUUGUCUAAGUUCCUUGGAACAGGACGUCACAGAGGGUGAGAAUCCCGUGAGAUAAGCUUCCCAGUUCUAUGUAAAGUGCUUUCGAAGAGUCGAGUUGUUUGGGAAUGCAGCUCUAAGUGGGUGGUAAAUUCCAUCUAAAGCUAAAUAUUGGCGAGAGACCGAUAGCGAACAAGUACAGUGAUGGAAAGAUGAAAAGAACUUUGAAAAGAGAGUGAAAAAGUACGUGAAAUUGUUGAAAGGGAAGGGCUUGAGAUCAGACAUGGUAUUUUGUAAACCUUCUCUCUCGUGGAGGGGGCCCCUUGCAGUUUACUGGGCCAGCAUCAGUUUGGGCGGUAGGAUAAUGACUAAGGAAUGUGACUUGCCUUCGGGGAAGUGUUAUAGCCUUGGUUGAUACUGCCAGCCUAGACUGAGGACCGCGUCUUUGACAAGGAUGUUGGCAUAAUGAUCUUAAGCCACCC